UGGGGAAUAUUGCGCAAUGGGCGAAAGCCUGACGCAGCGACGCCGCGUGGGGGAUGACGGCCUUCGGGUUGUAAACCUCUUUCAGCAGGGACGAAGCGCAAGUGACGGUACCUGCAGAAGAAGCACCGGCCAACUACGUGCCAGCAGCCGCGGUAAUACGUAGGGUGCAAGCGUUGUCCGGAAUUAUUGGGCGUAAAGAGCUCGUAGGCGGUUUGUUGCGUCGGCUGUGAAAUCCCGAGGCUCAACCUCGGGUCUGCAGUCGAUACGAGCAAACUAGAGUGUUGCAGGGGAGACUGGAAUUCCUGGUGUAGCGGUGAAAUGCGCAGAUAUCAGGAGGAACACCGGUGGCGGAAGGCGGGUCUCUGGGCAACAACUGACGCUGAGGAGCGAAAGCGUGGGGAGCGAACAGGAUUAGAUACCCUGGUAGUCCACGCCGUAAACGUUGGGCGCUAGGUGUGGGGCUCAUUCCACGAGUUCCGUGCCGCAGCUAACG
rnacentral:rRNA from 1 species